rnacentral:rRNA from 1 species
GACGAACGCUGGCGGCGUGCUUAACACAUGCAAGUCGAGCGGAAAGGCCACUUCGGUGGUACUCGAGCGGCGAACGGGUGAGUAACACGUGAGUAAUCUGCCCCUGGCUUUGGGAUAGCCACCGGAAACGGUGAUUAAUACCGGAUAUGACCACGUCUCGCAUGGGGUGUGGUGGAAAGUUUUUCGGCCAGGGAUGUGCUCGCGGCCUAUCAGCUUGAUGGUGAGGUAAUGGCUCACCAUGGCUUCGACGGGUAGCCGGCCUGAGAGGGUGACCGGUCACACUGGGACUGAGACACGGCCCAGACUCCUACGGGAGGCAGCAGUGGGGAAUAUUGGACAAUGAGCGGAAGCCUGAUCCAGCAACGCCGCGUGAGGGAUGACGGCCUUCGGGUUGUAAACCUCUUUCAGUACCGACGAAGCGCAAGUGACGGUAGGUACAGAAGAAGCACCGGCCAACUACGUGCCAGCAGCCGCAGUAAGAC